UGGGGAAUAUUGCACAAUGGGCGCAAGCCUGAUGCAGCCAUGCCGCGUGUAUGAAGAAGGCCUUCGGGUUGUAAAGUACUUUCAGCGAGGAGGAAGGCGUUGUGGUUAAUAACCGCAGCGAUUGACGUUACUCGCAGAAGAAGCACCGGCUAACUCCGUGCCAGCAGCCGCGGUAAUACGGAGGGUGCAAGCGUUAAUCGGAAUUACUGGGUGUAAAGCGCACGCAGGCGGUCUGUCAAGUCGGAUGUGAAAUCCCCGGGCUCAACCUGGGAACUGCAUCCGAAACUGGCAGGCUAGAGUCUUGUAGAGGGGGGAAGAAUUCCAGGUGUAGCGGUGAAAUGCGUAGAGAUCUGGAGGAAUACCGGUGGCGAAGGCGGCCCCCUGGACAAAGACUGACGCUCAGGUGCGAAAGCGUGGGGAGCAAACA
rnacentral:rRNA from 1 species